AGUGAACGCUGGCGGUAGGCCUAACACAUGCAAGUCGAACGGCAGCACAGGAGAGCUUGCCCUCUGGGUGGCGAGUGGCGGACGGGUGAGGAAUACAGCGGAAUCUACUGUAUCGGGGGGGAUAACGUAGGGAAACUUACGCUAAUACCGCAUACGACCUACGGGUGAAAGCAGGGGACCUUCGGGCCUUGCGCGAUUGAACGAGCCGAUGUCGGAUUAGCUAGUUGGCGGGGUAAAGGCCCACCAAGGCGACGAUCCGUAGCUGGUCUGAGAGGAUGAUCAGCCACGCUGGAACUGAGACACGGUCCAGACUCCUACGGGAGGCAGCAGUGGGGAAUAUUGGACAAUGGGCGCAAGCCUGAUCCAGCCAUACCGCGUGGGUGAAGAAGGCCUUCGGGUUGUAAAGCCCUUUUGUUGGGAAAGAAAUCCAGCUGGCUAAUACCCGGUUGGGAUGACGGUACCCAAAGAAUAAGCACCGGCUAACUUCGUGCCAGCAGCCGCCGUAA
rnacentral:rRNA from 1 species